rnacentral:tRNA from 1 species
GAGAGGUGGCAGAGUGGUCGAAUGCACCGGUCUUGAAAACCGACGUACCGAAAGGUACCCAGGGUUCGAAUCCCUGUCUCUCC